rnacentral:rRNA from 1 species
GACGAAGGGGGCUAGCGUUGUUCGGAAUUACUGGGCGUAAAGCGCGCGUAGGCGGCUUUGUAAGUUAGAGGUGAAAGCCUGGAGCUCAACUUCAGAAUUGCCUUUAAGACUGCAUCGCUUGAAUCCGGGAGAGGUGAGUGGAAUUCCGAGUGUAGAGGUGAAAUUCGUAGAUAUUCGGAAGAACACCAGUGGCGAAGGCGGCUCACUGGACCGGCAUUGACGCUGAGGUGCGAAAGCGUGGGGAGCAAACAGG